GACGUAGGCGCGAGCGUUGUCCGGAUUUAUUGGGCGUAAAGAGCUCGUAGGCGGCUUGUCGCGUCGGCUGUGAAAACCGCGGCUCAACUGAUGGGCGGGCAGCUGAUACGGGCAGGCUGGAGUUCGGUAGGGGAGACUGGAAUUCCUGGAUGUAGCGGUGAAAUGCGCAGAUAUCAGGAGGAACACCCGGUGGCGAAGGCG
rnacentral:rRNA from 1 species